GAAUGCUGACUAUUUGACAAACCAGAGAAAUGCACCUUUGACUGCAAGACUGUUAAAUUCCUGGCCCAGCUAUCUUCCCGGAAGGACUUCAAAUGGACCUUUACAAGUUAUCUACAAUGAUAGACUAAGAACAACCUACCAAGGGCUGAAUUGUAACCACAGGUGCUGCGACAAAGAACACUUUAAAGAUGCAUAAAAGUCUGUUUAAAGUGAAGAGAAAGAACUGGAUAAAAUAAUGAGGCCUUAGACAUAACCUUCGUGUCAAAAACUUUGAUUUUAUAGAUGCAUAAUAAUAAUUCAUGUUUUAUAUGAUGCUUUUUAAGGUUUAUGAAGUGCCUCACAACAACCCUGUCAGGUAGGUUGUAAAAGUAUUAUUAUUCCAAUUUUAUAGAUGAGUAAACUAAAACUCAGAGAGUAAGUAAAG
rnacentral:lncRNA from 1 species